rnacentral:lncRNA from 1 species
GGGAUUUUAAGGAGAUUUUUGGGGUAAAACUUUGGAAUUUUAAGAACCUUUUUUGGUGUAAAACCUCAGGAUUUUCCAUCAGAAUUUUCUGGGGAUUUUUUACCCUUCCCCCCCUCAUUUUUUGGGUUGAAACCCCCCAAUUUUGGGGAUUUAUUCCUCUUAAAUCUCUUUAUUUUUAUCUCCCAGCUUCUGUUUUUCGGAGAUGGCCCCGGUGUGCGCCGUGGUCGGGGGGGUGCUGGGCCAGGAGGUGGUCAAGGCUCUGUCCCAGCGGGACCCCCCCCACAACAAUUUCUUCUUCUUCGACGGCAUCAGGGGCCAGGGGAUGGUGGAGUGCCUGGGACCCCCCCUCUGAGGGACCCCCCAAUUUGGGGAGGGGGCUUGGGGGGUCCUGGACCCCUCAGGGUGAAGAUUUGGGGGGUCCUGAGCCCCCUCUGAAGGACCCCCCAAUUUGGGGAGGGGGUUUGGGGGGUCCUGGACCCCUUUCUGAGGGACCCCCCAAUUUGGGGAGGGGGUUUGGGGGCUCUGGACCCCCCCUCUGAGGGACCCUCCAAUUUGGGGAGGGGGUUUGGGGGUCCUGAGCCCCUUGGGGUGAAGAUUUGGGGGAUUCUGGACCUCCUCUGAGGGACCCCCCAAUUUGGGGAGGGGGCUUGGGGGUUCUGGAUCCCCCUUCUGAGGGACCCCCCAAUUUGGGGAGGGGGUUUGGGGGCUCCUGGACCCCUUUCUGUGGGACCCCUGAAUUUGGGGAGGGGGUUUGGGGGUCCUGAGCCCCUUGGGGUGAAGAUUUGGGGGGUCCUGAACUCCCCUCUGAGGGACCCCCCAAUUUGGGGAGGGGGCGUGGGGGGUCCUGAGCCCCCUCUGAGGGACCCCCCAAUUUGGGGAGGGGGCUUGGGGGGUCCUGAACCCCUCGGGGUGAAGAUUUGGGGGUCCUGAACUCCUUGGGGAGGGGGUUUGGGGGGUCCUGGACUCCUCUCUGAGGGACCCCCCAAUUUGGGGAGGGGGUUUGGGGGUUCUGGACCCCUCGGGGUGAAGA